GUCUAGGUUUAGCACGUGCGAGCCACACGAUUCAUCCCUGAAUUGGAUUUGGGGAUAGCAUUCUUCAAAUUAGGGCUUCCAUUUCAUUACACGAGAGAGUCUUCUGUCUCUCUACAAACCCCCAAACCCCAACAAACACAAGCUAAACCUUCUCAAUCCCUCUCUUUCGCGACCCAGAAAUGGCCGCCACAGCCUCCUCCUCAUAAACCCAUUCACCUUGUUCCUCCUCUUCUUUCGCAGAUUCGUUCUCUUUGGGUUUUGUUUUUGUCCAAAACCAGAUCGUCACCAAAACCAGAUCGUCUAAAUACAAGACCAGAUCGUCUUCUUCUUCCUCCACACCUCUCCUUCGAUCACCACGUGGCUCUCUUUCUUUCGCCCGCUCGACCGAUUUUCCCUCCAAAACUUCAAAUAUGUAGUGAAUGAACUCCGGGAAAUUAAAGUUGUGGAUGAGCACAACAAGGAAUCAGUGGUAGAUCUGUUGCAGUCUGUAGUGGAGAUAGUUACCUAUGGGGACAAACAAGACCCGAUGAUUUUUGAAUAUUUUAUGGAAUGUCAAGUUUUAGCUGAGUUUCUUCGUGUACUUAAAAUUAGUAGGGAUUCGAGAAUUGAAAUACCAUUGCUUCGCAUUCGAGCAUAAUGAUUCAAAAUAUGGAUAGUGAGCAUGCAAUUUACUAUUGUUUUAGCAAUGAUUAUAUCAACAACAUCAUAGAACAUCAGUACCAAUUCAAUCGAGGGGAUCUGGCCCAGUAUUAUGUAUCCUUUCUAAGGUUAUUUGUGUGCUCUUUUAAAUAAUUUCUGUUUGGAAACUUGGGCCUUCUUUUUGUUCAUUUGUGAUAAGCCAAGUGGUUUUGCUGGUUAAUUUCUGUUAUAACAAUUUCUUGUUAGUUAGCUCUUAAGUUGUAAUUAUCAGCUUACUCUUUAUUGUUACAACCUUCUCUAAAAGAAAGGGGCUGGUCUCAGAAGUUCAGUACAUUUGCAAAAACUUCUGAGACCCAUUCUUGAUUCUUUCA